AGCAGUCGCCGCGGUAAUACGUAGGGUGCGAGCGUUAAUCGGAAUUACUGGGCGUAAAGCGGGCGCAGACGGUUACUUAAGCAGGAUGUGAAAUCCCCGGACUCAACCUGGGAACUGCGUUCUGAACUGGGUGACUAGAGUGUGUCAGAGGGAGGUAGAAUUCCACGUGUAGCAGUGAAAUGCGUAGAGAUGUGGAGGAAUACCGAUGGCGAAGGCAGCCUCCUGGGAUAACACUGACGUUCAUGCCCGAAAGCGUGGGUAGCAAACAGGAUUAGAGACCCCAGUAGUCCCUGUCUCUUAUAC
rnacentral:rRNA from 1 species